AAAGAAAAUGAAAAGGAACGAUAAGUGAAACAUGGGCAAUGAUUUAGUUGCUUGAAAAAAGCACAUUAAUCAUCCGACAGCUCAGCUGUACUGCAGUGAAAGUUCUUUUCUCAUGUUGUGGUGAACCUGGGGAUCAGUGCUGGGAAGCGGAGCUGGAGCAGGGCUGGCAGCAAUAUUUAGGAGCAGCAACUGCUCGAGUUCAUUAAGAAACCGAGUACUAAAAAACCACAACUUCCUCAUGGACCCGUAAAUACCCAUUUUAGCUGCCGGUUUAAUCACCCGCAAAGACACUGCCUGAAUCUUUUCAAGCCCGGUGUAUCUGAAGUUUUGGGAGCGGUUGUGAAUAAAUACUUCACUGCCUGCUCACAGCGACGUUUCUUCGGCGUUAGCUCAUUAGAGUGCCUGAAAGAGACCCGACAGAAAAUAAGUUAAAUGCAACUAAAAUCGUCAUCCGCUUCGACUCUAAGAACAACGAGAAAGGCGAGGCAUUCACCAAAAAGUUGCAAAAGGCGUUUCAGCUGCACCGCAGCUAUUAGGAGCGCGGGGAAAGGGACUGAGGGAUGUGAGCGGGCAGUGUGUCUGGGAUCCCAGUCCUCAGUUGUUGAAGGGUUUUUUUUUUCCUUUAUUUCGCGGUUGGGUUUUUUUGUUUGGUUGGUCGGGUUUUUUUGCCUUUUAUGUUUGGUUGGUUUUUUUGUUUGGUUGGGAUUUUUGGGGGGGUGUUUAUUUGUUUGUUUGUUUGUUUUUUCGUGGGGCUGAUGCUUUGGUUUUUUGAUGGUGGUUUGUUUUUUGUUUUUUGGGGUUUUUUUGGGGGGUGGGGGGGAGUUGGUGACUCCAAAAGAUGUCACGGCAAAGUGAAAUCAUUGCAGAGGGCUGCUCAUGCAUUCAGCCUGUAGAGUUUUCAAAAUGUGAUGUUUUGCAAUGAUGACAUUAGAGUAGCAACCAAGGGUCCAAGACAGCAACGCCUGCUGCAGCUGGGCUUCGCUUUGAAAUGCCCAAGACAAUGGGGGCCACUGUUCUCCAUCGCUUCGCCUUUCCAUUCCAUUUACAUAGUCUGUUCUGCCUGAUUGACCAGCUUGGGCUGUCCAAGGGACCAGCAUUGUUCACAGAUCACUUCAAGAUGGCACAGAUGACAAGAUUCAGACUUCACCUUCCCCGGGUACGAUGAGAGCCGUGCCACUGGAAACCUUUGCAAACCACAGUUUCCUCAAUAAAAUCAUAAGACUUUAAUAAAUAAA